rnacentral:rRNA from 1 species
AUUGAACGCUGGCGGCAGGCCUAACACAUGCAAGUCGAGCGGAGCGGCGGACGGGUGAGUAAUGCCGAGGAAUCUGCCUGGUAGUGGGGGAUAAAGUCGGGAAACGGGCGCUAAGACCGCAUACGAUACGAUGAGCCUAGGUGGGAUUAGCUAGUUGGUGGGGUAAAGGCCUACCAAGGCGACGAUCCGUAACUGGUCUGAGAGGAUGAUCAGUCACACGGGAACUGAGACACGGUCCAGCUUCCUACGGGAGGGAGCAGUGGGUAAUAUGGGACAAUGGUCGAAAGCCUGAUCCAGCCAUGCCGCGUGUGUGAAGAAGGUCUUCGGAUUGUAAAGCACUUUAAGUUGGGAGGCGUUACCAACAGAGUAAGCACCGGCUAACUUCGUGCCAGCAGCCGCGGUAAUAC